rnacentral:rRNA from 1 species
UACGUAGGGGGCAAGCGUUGUCCGGAUUUAUUGGGCGUAAAGAGCGUGUAGGCGGCCACGCAGGUCCGUUGUGAAAACUGGAGGCUCAACUUCCAGCCGUCGACGGAAACUGUGUGGCUAGAGUCCGGAAGAGGAGAGUGGAAUUCCUGGUGUAGCGGUGAAAUGCGCAGAUAUCAGGAAGAACACCAAUGGCGAAGGCAGCUCUCUGGGACGGUACUGACGCUGAGACGCGAAAGCGUGGGGAGCGAACAGG